CCAGCAGCCGCGGUAAUUCCAGCUCCAAUAGCAUAUACUAAAGUUGUUGCAGUUAAAAAGCUCGUAGUUGAAGUUCUGGCUGUUCGGUCCUCGUGCUUUGUAGCCGAGGAAUCGACAGUCAUCCGCUUGCAAAUAUAUGUUCUCCUUUAACCGGGAGGCUAUAUGAGUAAGCAUUUUACCUUGAGAAAAACAGAGUGUUCCAGGCAGGUAUGUCCGGAAUGCGUUAGCAUGGAAUAAUAGAAUAUGACUGAAGUCGAUUUAUUGGUUUGAGGCUUUAGUAAUGAUUAAUAGGAACAGUCGGGGGCAUUGGUACUUGACAGUCAGAGGUGAAAUUCUAGGAUUUG
rnacentral:rRNA from 1 species